UUGACCUCGGAUCAGGUAGGGAUACCCGCUGAACUUAAGCAUAUCAAUAAGCGGAGGAAAAGAAACCAACAGGGAUUGCCCU
rnacentral:rRNA from 1 species